rnacentral:lncRNA from 1 species
AAAUCCGAAACCCGAACUCGAAAAUUUGAACCCGAAACAAGUAUUUCUUUUUUCAAUAUUUCAAAAUAUAUUAUAUUAAAUCUAAAUUUUUAAAAUACAAAUUCAAAUAUAACAUCAAAUAUAUAUAUAUAUAUAUAUAUAUAUAGAGUGAGGCUACUAUGCUAUCGGAAGCACGGAGCCUUCUGUGCUUCCACUUUGUUUUCGAUGUUUGGACUUUCGAAUCGUCGAUCGGCUCCGUUAGACUUGAUCUAGAGUAUUUGAAGUACCUAGAAAAUAAAAUUUAUGAUUUUUCGAUAUCAUUUGCCUAAUGAACGAAGGGGCUCAAAAUCAACGGCUGAAAAUAAAAAUCUUACAAAAUGUAAUAAUAUAACAUUAAAAUUUUAAAUCAAAUAUAUUGAUCUUGUUUUAUAUAGUAUAAAGAAUUUUCUAUCAAAAUUUCACGUGAUUUGGAUAUUUCUACACCGUUAAACUUGCAAACGGCUAACUACGGCCAUUGAAAUUUGUUGAUUUUGAGCCCAUUCGAUCACUAGGCAAAUGAUAUCGAAAAAUAAUAAAAUUUAUUUUCUAGGUACUCCAAAUACUCUAGAUCAAGUUUAACGGAGCCGAUCGACGAUUCGAAAGUCGCAACAUCGAAAACGAGCUGGAAGCACGGAAGGCUUCGUGCUUCCGAUAGCAUAGUAGCCUCACUAUAUAUAUAUAUAUAUAUAUAUAUAUAUAUAAAGCUACUAUGAUAUUGGAAGUAUAAAUGAUUUGGUACUUCCGAUUAUUUGACUCUUGGAUUAAGAAUUAUACAAGUAGGAUGAUUGCGGUCCUCCCUAGUAUUGAAUAGUAUUCUUAGGAUUACGUGGUCCCUAUAAGGUAAUAGUAUUAAUCUAAAGAUUAGAAAUGAUUAAAGAGACAGCUCUAAAUGCAAGGAGUCAGAAGCACCAAAUUAUAUAUAUAUAAAGUUGAGCCUCUAUACUUUUAAAAAUUCUUAAGUUAUUGGUACUUCUAGAUUUUGAAUUUUUUGAUUAAGAGAUGUGUGAUUAGGAUGAUAGUGAUUUUCCAGGGUUGAGUUGGUGGCUGAUUAAAUAGGAUGAUCUAAUGGGUAAAAAUAGUCAAAAAAAUUAGANUCUACAACAAGAUUAAUAUUUCUGAUCGAAAAUUUUAGUACUAUAUCACCACUUUUUAUAAGAUUUUUAUUUUCAGCCGUUAAAAAUUAUUGAUUUUGAAUCUUUUCGAUUGCUAGGUAAAUAAUAUCGAAAAAUAGCAAAAAUUAUUUUCUAGAAACUUCAAAUGCGCUAGAUCAAGUCUAACGGAGCCGAUCGUCGAUUCAAAAAUUCAUCAUCGACUGAGGAGCACGAAAGCCUCCAUGCUCCUGAAAGCACAACAGUCCUGCUCUCUCUCUCUCUCUCUCUCUCUCUCUCUCUCUCUCUCUCUCUCUCUCUCUCUCUAUCUAUAUAUAUAUAUAUAUAAUACAAAAUAAAUUCGGAUUCGGGUCCGGGUCGGAUACAGUCAAAAUCCAUAUCCGAAUUCAAAUCCGUCGGGUUUCUAUUUUUGAUAUCCAUAUCCGAAUCCAUAUCCAUUUAGUAUCGGAUAUAUCCGUUUCAUUUAGAUUCGGAUUCAGAUAAAAUUUUGGGUAUCCAUACCCAUUGACAUCCCUAACCUCCGCUGACGCUGAGGGAAAGAAUCUGUUUCAGCGCUAUUGUAGCGCAGAACAUGUUUUCGAGUUCAUCAAGUAAUCAGAAACAACAAUUCUAGGGCACACUCGUCACUAUACAUUAGAUGGAGAAAUAAGUAAUACAAAGACUAUCUAAACUGUUCCUUUUUCCGCGACGCCUGCGUUUAUUGUCAGCUAUCACUAGGGCACACUCAUCUCUUCCAUCUUUUCUACAGCUUAAGUGGUUAAAACAAAACACAACAAUAUACAGCGAAAGUUGGUGUUUCCUAUUUACGAAGAGUUGAGCGUCGGAGAAGCAGGUGAGGACGAUGAGGAGUGUGAGUCGGGGGCCGGGUUGGAUGAUAAAGGAGGUUGCCCUUGCGAUCGGCUUCUGAAACUUGGUGCGUCAAUAGGAGGGGCCGGUCGUGGAGGUUGGGGGGGCUGGUAAUACUUGUGCCCCUCGUCGGCUAGUUUCCUUAGUAUGUUCAUUACUGUCGGAAGAAACCUUGCUGACAGAGCUAGAAGUCCCGAGAGCUGCGCAAAAUAGUCGACAACAUAAGAGAUUUAUCGAAACCCAACUAAAAAUAAGACAUAAUUGAUCAUACCCGAGUGGUAUAACACGAAACAAAAUUAGAUGUUUGUUUUUGAUUUGACCAGAUUCAAUAUUCCAAUCCAUCUAGUAAGCGAAGGAAAAAUUGCAGCUCAGGGCUUGAAUUUCGUUUUAGAAACAAAAUAAAACAUAUGUUUUGUGGUUAAAAUUAGCAGCAAAGUCUAUUCAUGCAUACGAUUUUAUGGUACUUUUAAAGUAUGAUUAAUUACUCAUCAUUAUCUUAGUCCUUUAUAACUAUUAUUUAUAAGAGACAUACAAGCUAAGCUAACAAAAAGUUUGUUUCCAAAAGAUGCUGGGUACCUGUGAUGUUUAUGUAGUCGUUUUCUCAUGGAUAGUAGUAUCAUUUAUUAGGAAGUAAUAGAAAAUCCUCAAAGUCAAAAAAAAAAAAAAGUGAUUAAGAUAUCAUUAAUCAACAAUAUCAAAUUGUGUACAGCAAAUAUAGAAAUGAAAUUCUGCUUACCAUGCCGUGCCGAAAUUCUUCAAGGAUAUUGAAUUGUAACACCACGGCAUAGGAUACAAUGAAAAGAAGAAAGAGUCCCAAGAUGUACACUGGGUUCCUGUUCAUCAGCAAGAAGAACAGGAUAAAAUUAUCAGGCUUUAUCCCAAGAAGGAAUGUACAAACACACAUGACGAAUAAAUGAAGAUUCACAGUUAUAUCUCUGCAAAAUAAUAUAUUUACAAAUAUACCACUGUGGAAACAGAAAAUUCAUUUAUACCUCUUGGAGAUCUAGUUUCUACACAAAAUAACCUUAUCUUAGGUAGGGUAGUUAUCUGAUUCAUGGAGAGAAUUUAUUUGGUCUUUUAGAUAGUUUCUUUGGAGGGCAUUUCUGUUGGUACAAGGGCAUAGUUAUUAAGUUUUUGAACAACAUAUACAGCAAUUCAGAUUUUGCAGAGGUAGUAUAUACACUAAUAGAUAUUUUUGUUAGGGUAUUUACAUGCAAAUAUCUCUAAAUAAUAAUACUAAGCCAAUAAAAAGUGAAAAUGAACUAAACAACAGAAUAGAAAGACUUAUCUCUCGUAGCACAAAAUUACCUUAGAAGCAUCAUAAAUUCGUUAAAACCGAGGAUUGCAAUUGCGACGAUCGCCCAAGGAGGAGGCAACCAAUUACUACUCCGUCUGUGAGCUUCCUGAAUCAGGCCAAAAAAGGGAGAAAAAUAAAAGACAGAGUAGAAGCAGAGUAUAAGCAUCAGAACUGUGCUGCUUCUGUUCUAACAAUGUAUGUGUUGGUAAUAUUCACUCAAAUGAACUUUCAGAGUAUAUUUAACAUUCAACUAUUUAGAUGAACUAACCCUCUGACACACAAAGUAAAAGCCUGUAAAGGAGACAGCUAAAAAAUUCAAGAUGGACCGGCUUUACCUUACUGAGUAAUCCCCAAAAGUUUAUAGAAACAAAAUGAGGCAAAAAGAAAGGGAAAAAGCAAACCAUACCUGUGCUGAGAUUGCUUGGGUGAUGGUGUACUCAGUUUCUGAUUUAAAUUGCCUCCAAAUGGACUUGCACUGCACUGGAGUAAUUAAUGUAUUCCUAGGUGGUAUCUGAGAGAAACGAGCAUAAAUUAUGCUUAAAUUUCAUAUAAAUCUUAAUUGUGGAACAAAAAAGUGAAAAACAGGUUGUAAUUAUGCACUACCUCUUCCCAUGUGCUUGAAGCGAGAAGGUCUGUAGAGGCUUCAAUACUCCUACUUUGAGAGACGGGACCUUGUUCUAAUAGACUCGAGCUGAGAGCAUUCUCUAUCUUGUCUGGUUUAUCAUCUAAGCGUAUGGCCGCAAAUACAGCUAAGAGUUUUAGGGCCUGCACAGGAUUGCCAUGCUCUACAAUCAUUUCCAUGGACGCAAGCAGGCGAAUAUAAAAACACCACCCAAAUUGUAUGUAUUAACAAAUAUGUUCCUGAACUUCCUUUUUUCUUCCUGUGAUAUUUGAUGCAAAUCGUUAAGAAUAGCCUAAUUCUCUGUACAUCAAGUUUGUCAGGGGAAUUCAUAUCCUAAAAUCUAAAGUUAGGGGAUCUGUAUUCAAAUGACACGUAGCGUGCAAACGACUGCAUAUUUUACGUAACAAAAGAUACACUAUCCUAGAAAAUAUCCAUAUAUCAGUAAUUGAGGUAUGGAGUAUUCUUAAUACCGCUGAACGUGCUUCCUUUGUUAUCGCCCUAAUAUCUUCCUUCCCAGUCCAAACCCUUGGUAUUGAGUCCUUAUCAUGGUUAAAUACAGUAGAAAACCUGCAAAAGAUCCAAUAACAAGUGUCAAAUUAUGAGAAACAACCGUAUUUCUCUAAAAGCAUAAGCUAUGAGAGAAUGAUAUUUUUAAUAUUUGUAUUCUACACUUUCCCUCACGUCUGGUUUCGAGGCUUUUUGAUAGGCCCAAGACGUUGACUUGGAAUAAAUGGGAGGAAAUUAAAUGAAACUAGGAGCCUAGCAAGAUUUGCACUCAAGACCUUCUACUCUAGUACAAUGUCCAAUUACUUUUAGAGAAAUAUGGUUGUUUCACAUUCUUUAACAACAACAAGAAGAAAAUAAAUUGGGGAAAAAGUGAUAAGAAGUAAAAUCUAAGUAAUAAUUACUACCUAUCCUUCGUAUGUAUCAGAACCUUCCCUGCUUCAUCUCUAGCUUUCUUUUCUAUCACACCUCUAGCGAAUUCCUCUAGGUUUUGGAUCAUCGUGUCGUGAGUAGCCUGUUCAAGUUCAAACCCAGAAAGGGAACUCGUAAAAUCAGAAACGGCUUUUUCUGUCUCGCGCCUGUAAAGGUUCCUAAUUGAAGCCCAAGUAUCAUCUCCAGCUGCUUCUAGAAGUGACUCAACAGGUCCUGCCAGUGCUUCUGUUAAUUUGCUCUGCAAAAAUAAAGGGCGUAUAACACAUGUAUCCCUCUGGAAAACGAGAGUUUUCAUAGAUGCCCUUUGAGAAGAAAACUUAGGAAAAGAUAUGAAGGGCACUGCUAAUAUUAAGCCCAAGAAGGGCAAGCUGAAUUGUCCUAAAGGGAUUUCGACAUGUUAAAAAGGCAUUUAUGAAACUGUAAUUGGUUAGGAAGAAAAAUUGAAGAACCUCAGAAGAAGCUUUUAAUUUAGCAAGUUUUGCGGUUCGAACAGAUGCAGCAUAGGAGUCGAUAUCACGCCUGAGUUUGUCCCUAACUUUGGAAGCAUCCCAAUCUGCUUGCUCAACAGUCACAUCUGGACACAGCGAAUAUAAUAUAUAUAUGAUAUAAUAUAUAUAUAUAUAAUAUAUAUAUAACAGGUUGUUAAUUUACUUGCCUAGAAUAAAAUGCAUAAAAGUUUCUUUAAUGAAUUUAAUCUUCAAUAGGAACAAAUACCUUCUAAUCCUCUAUCAAACUCAAGCAAAGAAGCCCGAGUACAAUCACGAACUGCUGCUGCAAACGCCUUCCCACUUUUCAAUGACUGUUCUAAAUCAUUUUUGAAUUUCUCCAAAGCUUUGGAACGGAGGUGUCCCAACAUUGCCGUGAAAGUGGAAUGCACAUACUGCAAAAAAAAAAAAAAAGGGUAAAACUGUGUUGGCAUAAAUUUUCUAAGAAAUUCAAAAUCACUCUCACACCGUGUCAUUCAUCAAAGUCAAUCCCAGUAAAUAACCUAUUAUACAGUCAAAAAAAGGUAAAAUAGCUGUAAGUUUUACUUAUUCAAGUAGAAUCCUACUUGUAUGAAAUCAUUUAAGCCAGAAAAACCAAAAAGCUUAAAUGAAAACUUCCUCCAACUAUAUUGCCUUAUCCUGCAAAUUCACAAAAUUUCCAUGGUUCAACAACUGACGUUCGAUAAACAGAAUAUCACCAAUCCUAACAUGUUUCACUAAUUUUCUUUUCAGUUAGAAAUACAAACUCACUUUUAAAAAAUAAAUAUUUAAAAUAUUAAUACUUUUUAAAUACUAAUAAUUUAUCAAGUAAGAAAGUGUAUUGCCCUCACAUUCAAGGCUCCAGAUUCCAACUGCUCUCUUUUUGCGGUCCUAACGCCUUCAUCAAAGUAGGCAGCUUCCAUGUCAUACCUACAAGAAAAUAUACAUAAAAAUCAUACCAAAUAAAGAAAGGAAAUUAGCUGUAUGGAAAAGAAGCAAUUCAUGAAAAAAUAGAACCAACUAUAAUUUGAAGGUCUGAAGAGCUCAUUAUGCUUUAGUUGACUUUGUCACCAUGAAAAAAUGAUUAACAAGAGAGUUUUACUUCCAACAUGAUCUCUUGAUGCAUAGAAUUUCAAUAUUUAAAUGAGAAUCGCAUGCAGAAAUUUGAGACCCACUCUGAUAGGUAAAAAUCGAGGAUGCAGCUAAGUUUUCUCCCAAAGCCUGCUACUCGACCAGAUUGAACAGCUGUUUUCAACUCCAACCAAUUCUACACAUUCCAAAGAUUACAUUAGCAAAAUGCAGAUCCAAAAAAAAAAAAAAAAAAAAAAGGUAGAGAACCAGAUUACAAAUGCGUAAUGUAAACCUCAUCAGAUGCCAAACGACCAAGCUUUUCAUUUGCAAUCUCUUCACACCGAACAGUAGCAACCAUAACCUACAGAGACAGAAAAGAAAAGGACAAAGAGGGAGAGAAGAGUAAAUAAGAAGGCUAACAUGAAUAUUCCCACCCUGGAAAUACCGUGAUUUGCACUUUACACCCCUUAAUAAUCAAAACCUACACUUAAUAAUCAAAACUUACAAUUAACCACUAGUUUGCAAACUUUGGUGUUUUAGCCCAUUCCAUGAAGAGAGGCCGCAGGAUUUUCUAAUACACUAACAGGUUAUCAGUAGGUCCUCGCAAUGCGUAAAGUGCAAAUCGUGAUAUGUGCAGAUGGAAGUAUUUCAUACUACUAAAAAUUUAAGAAAAACCUUGUGAGCAGGAAGGUCAAGGUCCUUAUUUUCUCUUAUGACGGCCCAAAUCUGCUGCGCACUAAAAGAAAAUGCUGAGCCUGGUAUAACACCUCGUCUGUCGCCUGCAAGGCCUCCUGGGGCAAUUGAAUUGAAAAAGCGCUGCCUUAGUUGCGCAACCUGUAGAAAAUAGAUUAUAAAAGAAAAGAAAUUCAUAAGAUCUUCCACCAAAUGAAAUAUUAAUGACACAUUUAGUUGAUUUCCAAAGGAUGAUUGUACUCCAAUUGACAUUUUACUCCCUAUUUAUUGCGUGCGGUGAACAAAAUAAGAUGUUAAGGGUAUCACAUUUAAUUCUCAACUAUUUGCAAGUGGUCGAUAUUAUGAUUGCCGCCUUAAGAUAGAACAUGAUAUGUCAAUUACAAUACUUGCUAUAUACCUGCUCUUUGAAUUGCUCUUCCUUCUCUUCAUAACUGGGCAAAGCAGUAACCUCCACCUUUUACAUUAGAAAAGUAAGUACUCAGAAUUCGUAAAGAAUAUUACAACUGCUUGAUUACCAAACCAAAUUACUCACGUUGAAAAAUUCACUCAGUGCAGUUUCCUUGUGAGCUUCUGGCUUAGAAAUAGAACUCCAGAUCUGGAAAAAGAAAUAAGACACCAAUGUCACUGCAAGCAAAAAAAUGAGGAUUCUUAAUUUAACCAAAAAAAAAAAAGCAUAUGAAUUGCACCUUUUGAAUGUCUUCCCUUAGCACUGGCUCUAGAUAUUUCAUGGGAGUCUACAGAAAAGACCAGAUGUAAAAAUUUGAAGCAGAUAUUUGGUUGGGAGACAAAGUGAAGAUAUAAUUCUAAGAAUUAAUCAACUAUCAAAAGUUAUAAAACCUUAGUUUUGUCACGAAUGACAAAAAGCAGCGUAGUCUUGCGAGGACUAAACAAACGCAUCAUAACCUACAAAAAUAAAAUACAGUAAUAAUUCAACAAAAUGUCGCCAACGACAAUAGAAAAUUGUGAGCCUUCUGGGUACCAAAAAGAAAAAAAGGGGAAAGAAAACCUGAAAAACCGUCUUCAAGAGAGGUCUAUUAGCAGCCUGCUCUCGGCCUAUGUCAUGACACCACCUGCACAAAUUCGAACAACGAUAAGAAGAGCAAGGCCAUCUGAAAAACCAGCAGUUCUACAGUGAAAAUAGCACUGAAGAAUGGAGAGAGGUUAGCUACAAAACAGUAAUCAACUCACAUAUUAAUCAUAACAAUGUCUGAAAUUGCUAGAGCAAAGAGCGAGAUUUGCUUUUCAAAUGUAGUAUCAUCCUGAAAAUGAAAUUAUGCAGCCAUCAAAUAUUACUCAAAAUUAUGUCACAUAAAGGAAAAGAAAUAACGCAGCCCUGUGUUAAAUAAUAGUGAAUGCCAAAAUCAUUAGAAAAGGAAAGAGAAAAACUGCAAAUGAGGAUUAAACCUCUCCUCUUUCUCUACUAUCUGUACCCUCUAAAUCCAUGACGAUUGUACAAGGCUCGAUACCAAUACCCUUUGCUAUCCAAAUGCCUUUAGUUGUUUGGCUCCUGCAUGGCAAGAAAUGCAACAUGCCUCAAAAUGUAAUGAAUGUCAUCAAAAUGUAAUAUGGGGAAGGGGAAGAAAAAAAAACAGACGACCGUCCCCUCCAUGGUAUAGCAUGAUUCCACUUUACUACUCAGUGGUUGAAAGUUAGUAAUUUGCCACACCGGGGUAGCUGUUCUGUUUUCCCAUAUGGACCGACCAUCGAAGUGCCGUAAAAACUAGGCACGUGACAGUCAAAUAACUUAUUAAACACUAUAACUUGAAAGAUUCAAUAUGAUUAAGAAACUGAAUGAUUAUUAAUAGCAUUUUAAUGAGUCAUGUGAUCAUCACAUGCCCAAUUUUUAACAGCAUUUUAAUGGCGGUCCUUACAAAAACCCAACAACAACUACACUAGCAGUAAAUUGCUAAAUUUCGAACCAUAUGUUGCUGUGUUCUGUAGCUUACCAUUAUAUUUUUAACCACAAAAGAAAAUAAAGGAUUAGCUCAUGGAUCGAUGCUCACCUCCCUUUAAAGGCAUCCAUCUCCCUGAAGUUGGUUUUGAAAAGAUGAUUUAAUAGAGUGCUUUUCCCUACUCAAAACAAAGAAGACCACUUUUUCAUUAUUUAAAUACGCGAGUCAAUAAGUUAACAAGAAGUGUAAAUAUUGAAGGGCACAAAAGAAGCAUCCUAUCUGCCUAAAGUAGUAGUCAAAGUAAUACAAAAUUUGGUUUAUUUUUCUUUUUUUUAACAAAAAGAGCUCAUGGUCAUGAAAAGCUAUCAUGUGAUAGCAUCUUUGAUCAUCUCUUUUGCACUUCCCUUUACCACUCCAUCAAGAAUACAUGUUAUUCUUUUCCUCCAUUGCCCCCAACAUCAGAGCUUUCACAGCAUAUCAACAAUUCGAAGCAAAAUGGUUAAUCAAUGCUAAACCAUACGAUUCCCCACAUAAACAAAUCUCCAUGUUCGAAAAUAACAGGACAACAUUAAAAAAAUAAAAGAAUAAAAAGCGCAAACUCCAUAUCUAAGAGGACACUCCUUUCCCACAAUUAGCGCAUUAUUCAAAUUUAAAAUUCAGCAACACACCCCCAUGCUACCAAAAAUAGCAAAAAAAAAAAAGAUUUUUUUACAUGGAAAAGAUAGAAAAGAACAAAUUUAAUACCAAAAAACAAAUUUUCGACACAACCAACUCAUUACUCGAAAUCGCAUAUACGCACUACAAGAAAAAAAUGAGUGAUUUUACAUGGGAAAAAGGAGUGAUUUUACAUGGGAAAAUAAGAGAGGAUCAUAUUUAACACCAAAAAAACACUCUUUUUCUCUUAAUGAACGCAUCAGUUGCUAUCAUAAAUCCGUAACACACCUCAUGCUACUCCAAUUAAAGCUAAAAAAAAAAAAAGUGCAAAAAUGGAAAAAUUGAAGAGGAGAGGAGAGAGGGGUUAGUAAAACAGGGAGGAGGGAGCUCACCGCUACUCUGAGGGCCCAUAAUGGAGACGACGGCGUAGGAGAGGCCACAAUCGGCGAGAUGGACGGCCCUGAUGAAGCGCUCGAGGCCCUCCACGUUGAACGCCCCGUCGCCGUCGAUGAGCUGCGUCGCAAAGCACUCCUCGCCCAUCUCCUCCGACUCCACCCCAAGCUCCGAUCGAUUGGGCUCCUCUUCCUAGGGUUUUGGACACACACACACACACACACAUACACACACACACACACACACACACAGAGGUUCUCCUCUUGUGCUUGGUCGCUUACACGUAAUAUAUAGUACGAGGUCGCCGUGGAAGCAUUUGGGAGAAGCACUUCUUCUUACGCAUUCGAAAGAUAAAAAACAAAGAGGAGGGGAAUUCGGGUUUUGUGGGUAAAUUUGUACAUUGUCCCCCAACGUUUACAAAGUUUCACUUUACGCCUAAAACUUUUAAAUUUAAAAAAAAAAACUUUCUAUUUAUUACUGCACAUCAUUUUUAUACUUAUCCCACCUUCCAAAUAAGGGCUUUUUUUUAAUUAGCCCCAUGAAAAAAUUUAUUUAAAAAAUAGCCCCAACAAAUUUAAAUUUACAAAAAUAGUCCUGAUCCUGCCACGUAGGCACCACGUCAGCGCCAUGCGGGCCGGGUUAGGCCAGUUAGUUAAUUUAAAUACGGUGAAUCAUUCACCGUGUCUAAAUACGGUAAAAUGGUUCAUCGUGUCUGGGAAAAGGAAAGGAAAAUAAAAAAUAUACGUAUUAUGAAAAAGAUAAGUAUGGAACACGGUGAACCAUUCACCGUGUUCGGUGAACCAUUUACCGUGUUUGAACACGGUGAAUGAUUCACCGUGCUUGACUUAACACCCCAACCUAUCCACGUGGCGCUGAUGUGGCGCCUACGUGGCAAGGUCAGGAUCAUUUUUACAAAUUUAAAUUUACUUUGAACUACUUUAAAAAUAAAUUUUUUUCAGGGAGCUAAUUGCAAAAAAAGCCCCCCAAAUAAGGGUAAAGUACAAUGGUCAAAACUUUUCUUUUUAAAAUUAAUCUAUAAAAAUUUUAGAAAUAUUACUAAAAAUUUUAUAAAUUUUUGGAUCUAAGAGUGUAAGAUUUAUAUCUUUAUAAGGGGUGUUUACAUAGCUAUUUUUCUAAAAAUUUAUGUAGCAUACAUCCUUAGUUCCCUCUUGCAUUUCCAACGUUACCCAUCAUUGAGUUAAAAUAAUUUUGCUACAUAAGAAUUAUAUAUAUACUAUUAUAUAUAAAAAUAUUGAAUUUAUGGUUUAAAGCUAUAGUGUUAGUACGAAAAGCAGGACUAAUCAUCCCUAACGUAAAUAGUAAAAAAUUAUAAGUUCGAAAGUUAGUUACUUCAUAUUUUUAGCUAAAUUUUUUAUCCCAAAUAAUUUUCUUCUCUCUCGGGGUUGAGGAUUCAAAUCUUCUAUAUAUUUCUUAAAUUUAGAGCUCAUGCUAUAAAAAUUAUUCUUAAGAUAUGCAAGAGGUUCUUAUUUUUUGAGAAUAAUAAAUAAAGACAACAUCAAAAAAAAAUGUGCAAAAGUGAAAAAGAUGGUAUCUUUUCUUUCGAGCCAAGUUGCUUACCAAGUAGCCACCUAAGAGCUAAUCCACUUCCCUCUUAUACUUUGUUUCUCUGCUCACAUAUUCUAAGUCCAUAUUUGUUGGGAUCCUUCAUUCAGUUUCACUAAUGGUGGCAUACAAUAAGUUUUUCAAAAAAAAAAAAAAAAGUUGAGAUAUUGGAUUUAAGGGCUUCGAAAAGAUAUUAUAAUUUUUCUAAGAUACCGACCUCACAAUAUUCCUACAGGCGUGAGAAAUUGUAACUCGUACUCCGUCCUUGCUUUACAUGGCCGGCAUCCUAUCUUGUAGCGUAAAGCUGGGUUGAGUAGAAUCACACUUAAAAUAUGCAAGAAUCGUGUAUAUGUUCAAGUUAAGUAAAAUAGCUAUUCCUUCUAACAUUUCAAUCUUUUUGGAAUUGUGAUUAGCAUUUACAAUACAACAAGUGAUAUCAGAUUCAGGACACGCUUUUGAUUCUCGCGUGCUACCUAAUGGCAGAGAACAAGUUAGGCAAGUCAGAGUCAAAGCACUUUAAGUGAAUUGAUUAUUCUUUUUCUAACAUCUCGCGUUUAAGGAAUUAUGAUUAGCACCACGAUCCAACACUGAGUACACAAACUGACGGAAUGCAUCUGGUACAGGUAGUAAUUUCUUUUCUAACAUUCAGGCAUUAAAACUAAAGUUUUAAAAAUUAUGUAUCAUUCUAGAACUUCUAAAAGAAAAUUAUUUUGCCCAUUUAAAAUGACAAAUCGCUCACAAUUUAUAUAAAUAAACUACACACAUAUUUAUUCAAUUAUAAUUUAUUUAUUUAUAUAUCUGUUUAUAUAUAUAUAUAUAUAUAUAUAUUGAAAAUACAUAAAAAUACUGCUGCAUUCAACAUAGAAUCCGGUGGAAGAUUCUACUGGGCAAGGAAAUCUGAAGGAAACUUCCAUUCACCACUAACAAUUCGCCAAAAAAAAUAAAAAAAUAAAAAAAAAAAAGAAAUUCGGGGUGAGCGUUAUAUAUCACGGUUUUGAAACUUCGUGUGGGCCCCACAUGUCAGUGACACAGAAGAGCUAUAACACCGCUACACUGAAGACUCUCCUCCACGCUGCGUCAAAAGUCUUCGUAACUUGCGUGCGAAAUUUCGCCCAAGGCAGAGCUAUUUCGCCGACCCUCCAUCCUUUUAAAAAGCCCCCCACGAACCUUAAAGCGAGCGAGGCAACGGGGGAGGGGAGAUCAAAAAAUAAAUAAAUUUGAAAAAAAAAAAAGAAAAGAAAAAAGGAAAAGGAGGAGGAGCCCUAAUUCGACCGGCGCACGUUAGCAUCAAUCGCAGAGGGGGGGGGGUGUGGGGGCUCGGCGCAGGAUAAGAGGAGGCGAAGAAGAUGAUGCUCCCCGGCGUAGAGCUCGCGAGGAGGCGCCGCCUCCACCACCACCACAGCGCCGAUCCGCUCCCGGCGGNCGCCGGCUCCGGCGACGCCUCCCACUCUCCGCCCCCGGCGGCGGCGGCGCCGCCGCGUCGUCCAUGGCGGAGCCCGCGCUCGCCGCGCGCAUCCGCCUCGAGGAGAAGCUCCACGGCCUCUCCAGGUAUCUAUUUUAUAUAUUUAAUUAGUAUAUAUAUAUAUUAUAUAUUAUAUAUAAUUUUUAUAAUAAUUAUAAAAUAAGUAAAGGAAAUUAUUAAUUUUAAUCAGUUAAGUUUCUGUAUAUUGUUCUGCAGGUGGAGCAGACUUCCAUGUAACAACCGCGGGGAUCAGAACUCACGGCCGGCAGCCCCGGGGCCGAGCCGGAGGGCGACCGCGGAGUUACCGGCGCGAAAUCCGGGAGUGGUAGGAGGAGGCGCGCGUCCGGUGGCGAGGACGUCCUCGCGGACGUCAGAGGUGUGCGCGGUGUGCCUGGAGGAGGUGGAGGCGGAGGCGGCGGAGCAGACGCGGGUGACGCGGCUGCCGUGCUCUCACCGCUACCACUCCGACUGCGUCCUCCCGUGGCUCGCCGCCCACCCCGACUGCCCCUGCUGCCGCGCCUCCGUCGGCCCUCCCCCUUCUCUCCACGUGCCCUCUUAGCGCAGGAUCUUGUUGCGCUGAAAAAUGUAUGAAACUUAUAGCUGAACUAUAUAUAGCUAGCAUUCAAUGGUACAGAUGUGCGAACUUUAAAAAUUGGUUAAACUAGAGAAUACUUUCUUAUAUAAGUAUUUUUUUAUUUUUAUUUUUUGUAUGUAAUCCUCUCAGAAAUUUUUUUUUCAUAAAUAGUUUUAUGAAAUUUAUAUUUCGUAAGAUUGGUUAUAUUUUCGUGUCAUGCAAGUACCACGCAAGCGCCACUCGGAUAUAGAACACGUGUUCAACUUAAUUUGGGCUAUCAGUCAGGCUCAUGUGGCGCUCACGUGGCGAAAAUAGGAUCAAUCUUACAAAUAUAAAUUUUGUCGGUCUAUUUAUAAAAAAUUUUUGGAUGAGGUUAAAUGCAAAACAAGCCUCUGUUUUUUUUUCUGGCUUUCAAAAUUUUAUAUUAAUCAUUUUUUUUUUUAUAUAAAAAAAAUAAUUUUGUAAUAUAGUCAUUUUGAAGAAAAUUUUGAUAUAGAUUAUAAAAAAUAGACGGAAUAGUGAUGGAAAGAGAUAAAUGUAAUAAUUUAAAAUUUUAAAAGAAUAAAAUAUAAUUUUUUUAAAAUUAAAAAUAAAAAAUAAAAAAAAUAUUUAUAAAAAAAAAUUUUGUAAUUCAGCCUUAAAAUUUUUUAUUUUACUACUCUUUGUAGAUACGGAAAAAGUAUAUAAGGGGAUUGGCUGAGCAGCAUAAAAUGGCAUGUAGUUGAUUGAUCUUAGGAAUAGUUCUUGUGCUAGUUGGAUCAUCAUACUUAUUUUAAUAAUAUUCUCUGGAACGGUUUUGGGAUGGUUGGAUUAACAAUUACCGCUUCUUUUCUUAUCAUAAUUAGAAUUUUAAUUAAGCCUAGUAUUAAAACUAAAAAAAAUUACAUAUGUAUUUUGUAAAUUUUGAUUGAUGUAAAAUGAAUAUGUUUAAUUUAAUUAUAGUUAUCUUGUUUGGCAUGGAGAUUGGAAUAUCUGUUAAAUUUAAGUAGAUUGGAUAACUCAAAUUAUUUAAGUUAAAAAUUCUAUCUGUCCACUAAUUAGAUAGAAAAGUAGGAAGAAUUUAUAGUAAAUUAGUUAAGUCUAGUUUAUUAAAAUUUAAAUUAGUUUAAAAACUUAAAUCGCAUCUAUUAAUAAUUAAAAAGUUUAUUUUGUAAUGAUUAUUUUAAAAAUUAUUUGCAUACACGUUCCUGCAAACAUAGUGAAUUACAGAUAUAUUCCUGCAAAACGAAAAUUUCAUAAGUUAUCCCUGCAAAAGUCCUAAACUAUGCAGAUAUGUCCCUCUGGUUAACAUUCGUUAGUGAACUGUUAAUUUUUUUAACAGUUUUCUUGUGAAAUGAACUUUUUGUCCUUACAAAUAUAUUCCUCCAAAAUAUUCCUCUUCCCCUUCUCUUUCUCUUUCUCUUUCUCUUCGGGCCACCGGAGCUGACGACGGUGACGGCGCGGGGUCGGGCUCGCCGGCGACGAAAAAGAGGGAAGAGAAAGAAGCAGAGGAAAAAGAAGAGGAAAGAGGAAGAAGGAGAGGAAUAGGGAGAGGAAGCGGAAAGAGGAAGAGGAAGAGGGAGAGGGAGAGGGUUCGCCGCCGCCGCCGCAUCUUCUCCCUCGCCGGCCACGAAGAAGAGGGAAAAGGAAGAGGAAGAGGAAGAAGAAGGGGGAAGAGAAAGAGGGAAGAGGAAAAGGGAGAGGGUCCGCCGCAGCCACCGCCGCAUCUCCCUCGCCGGCGAUGAAGAAGAGGGAAGAGGGAAGAGGAAGAGGAGGAAGAGGAAGAAAGAUAAAACCAUCAAUUCACAUUAUAAUUAACCAUGGUUAAGAAUUAUAACCAUGGUUAACGAAAAUUUUCUACCAGACCUUAACGGCAGGAAUAUAUCUGCAUAAAUUAGGAUUUUUGUAGAGACAACUUAUGAAAUUUUUAUUUUGCAGGAAUAUAUCUGUAAUUCACUAUAUUUACAGGAACGUGUACGUAAAUAACCCUUAUUUUAAAUAUAGAUGUACUUUGCUGACGGGAAGGGCAUUUUUGGAAGAGUCCUUAAACUGGUCUAAAAUUUAUAUUCUCUGUUUUAUAUGUAAGUAGUAAACUAGUUAAAGGGUCCGUGUAAUGCAUGUCUCAUUUAUUUUUAAAUAAAUUUAAAAUUGAAAAGUAGAUUAUUUUGAAGCACGGUUUUCAAAUAAAUAAACUAAAAAUCUUAUUUUUAUAGAUUAUUUUUUUUUUUCGUAUCCUCUCAAAAAGUUGUAAUUUCAUUAACGUCCCUCCAAAGUGAAAAAUAUUGUGAGGGUUUAGAGAAACUGGUGAUAAUUUUAUGUUUAGAAGGAUAUUGAUGGUAGAUUCGUAUGUUUAGAGGGAUAUUAGUUAUAUUUGCAACUUUGAAGGAGACCUUACGAUAUUUACUUUUUUUUUUAAUGUUCGAUACAGGAGAAGAAAAUUUUCUCUCUCCGGAAAGUGAGUCCGUCUACAGAUUCAAGUUUAAAAUUUGUGUUUUUACAUAUAUAUAUAUAUAUAUAUAUAUAUAUAUAUAUAUAUAUAUAGGCCGUGGCUACUAUACUAUUAUAUACUAUUAUGAGUAUUGAAGCCCUCGUACUCAUAAGUUGUUUUCGAUGAUGGAGCUUCCGAAUCGACAAUCCACUCCGUUAAAUAUGAUCUAGAGUAUUUGAAACUUUUAGAAAAUAAAUUUCGUAAAUUUUCAAAAUCAUAAUAAAGUCCAUCAAGCGGGCAUAAAAUGAAUGAUCAAAAUCAAAUGAUGUCCUAAAAAAGGAUGAUCGGAUCCUUUAAUUUAAGAUCAGAGUUUUUGAUCUUUAUCUAGGUAGUGAAUAGAAUUUUCUAUAAAAAAUUCAAUAAAUUCCAAUUCUUUUACACCAUUAAACGAGCAAGUAUUUCAUACCGGCCAUUAAAAAUUGUCAAAUUUGUGACCUCUUAAUCGUAAGGUAAAUGAUGUCAAAAAAUUAUAAAAUUUGAUUUCUAGAAGUUUUAAAUGCUGUAAAUAACGUUUAACGGUAGGGAUCGUUGAUUCGGAAGUUCUAUCAUCGAAAACGAUUUAUGAGUACGAGAUCGAUCGUACUCAUAAUAGUAUAGUAGCUGGACCCAUAUAUAUAUAUAUAUAUAUAUAUAUAUAUAGAAUUAUGCUGGAAUACUAUUAAUAGUAAUACGCUCUUUUUGCUAUCAAAUUUUUAACCCUUGGAUGAAAAAUUGUAGGGUCAGGAUAAUAUUAGUCAGUUAGAGUUGAGUGGUCCCCCUAGGGUUGAGUGGUCCCCACUGGGUUAUAGUAUUUAAUCCAAUGGUUAAAAAUAAUGAAAAGAGUUGAUCCAAAGGCUAAAAAACUGGUAGCAACAACGGAAUUUUGCUACUAAUAGUAGUCAAGUCCAACUAUAUAUAUAUAUAUAUAUAUAUAUAUAUAUAUGAUUAUAUUACUAAUAAUACAGAACUACUUAACAACUGAUAAUUAUCUUAUUCGCAGACGAGUAUUACUUAGUAGACUCCGGAUACGCAAAUACAGAUAGAUUUUUUGCACCCUAUAGAGGAAGACGUUACCAUAUUAGUCAAUUUGAUGCUAACACACGGCCCCGCGUUCAUCGAAAUCCACGAUAUUUGUAUAACCACCGGCAUGCUCAAUUAAGAAAUGUGGUCGAGAAGACAUUUGACAUUUUGAAGAAGCGUUUCAAAUUCUCAAUGUAGACCGUUUCCAUACAAAGUGUAAUGUUUGAUUGCUAUGGCAUGUUGUAUAAUACUUAACUUUAUUCGCCGUCAUCAGACCAAUGAUAAUAUAUUUUCUGACGAGCUAGAUGAACAGGACGCUAAAAAUGAAGAUGAAGAAUCUAAUUUUUUAGGAGGAAAUGAUGAGUUCCAACGUGGCGAGGAUCUCCGUGCUAAUAUUACAAACCAGUUGUGUAGUAGUAGAACAUAGUUUGCUAUAAACUUGAAUUGUAUUGCUAUUUGGUAGAACCAAGUGCAGUGCUUGUAUUGGAUUUUGACUAAACUAAGAUGAUCAUGUGUGAGAUGCAUGUGGCUUCUAAUGUUUGCUUAUUUGUUUCUUUGUAAUUUUGGAACAUAUAAUGUUUGAAAAUGUGAUGUGGUUUUCUUGUUUGCGUUUGUUUAUGAGCCUAAUGUUGGUAGAUCAUGUUGGUAGAUGUAGAUGUUAUCCAACUCUUCUACAUAGUUGUUAUCUUUUAAACUGUUUUGGUUGUAUAUGUACGUUUGUUUGAUUCAAUGUGUUAUUAUCUUUGUAACUGUUUGUUGAUUUGAAGAUCUUUUAUAUGUAUAUAAAUAUUUGUGUAAUAUAUCGAAUCCCCGAAUCGUAAUGCUAACAUUGAUCAAAUUGAUCAAAAUGUGGUAUGAGAGUGAUAAGUGAAGUCCUCGAGUUGCCUUGAAGGCGUUGGGAUUGUUAGAAGUGAGUUUCGAAUGUAUUUAAUAAGCGUUUUCGGUGCAAACCGACGCGAAAACCAAUUCCGAAGUAUUAAGUAUGCUGGAACUGCAGAAAUUGCAUUGAAUACCAGUACCAGAAAAUAGGGUUCCGGUACCCAAUACAAGUGCAAAAUGAGUUUCUCUCGAGUUGAGGUACUAAGUUGGUGGUACUUGUACUGGAUAGGCGGUGUAUCGGUACUGGUGGUUGAGUACCGGUACUCACCNUGUCACUAUUUCCUAAGUUUAAAAUUUAGCCUUCAUAACUAGAACGAUGACUACAAUUCAUCUUAAAAGAUAAUUUAAAAAUACAUUAAACCUAUGAAGAUGUGGCAACUUGAAUUUUUACACGGUGUAGAUGGCAAUUUUAUCAGUAAAAAAUCUGUAAAACUAGCGAAUCAUUUACUACGGUUUUUUUAGAUUUUAAACCAAAGAUCUAUCAAGGUUAUCCCAUCUAGUAUGGAUUGCCUCGGCUAGCAGCUUAGCUUGCAGGAUAGUAGCUUUUGUUGAAUGUUCGUGCCCCGGAGGGCAUGAAAGCUUUCAUGCCCUCUGCCUGAGAUAUAUAUAUAUAUAUAUCACUCCGAUGAUACGAUAGCCUUCGUGCCUCGGAAGGCAUGAAGGUCGAGCAAAAGCUACAACACUGAAAGCUUAGCAGCUAGCUGAGGCAAUUUGAACUAGAUCACAUAAAACUCAUGGAUCUUUUAUUUUAAAUAAUAAAAAGCUAUAGUAAACGGAUCACUAGCUUACCCGAGUUUUAGUUGUUUAAAGUUAUCGGUAUCACUCGGCAAACGUUCAAAUUGCCACAUCUUUAUAGGUUUAGUGCACUUUAAAACUAUCUUUUAAGAAAUAUGAUAUAUUUUGUUCUAGUUUUUAUGAGAUUUUCAUUUUCAGCCGUUCAUUUUGAGGCUACUCGUUCACUAGACAAACGAAAUCAAAAAAUUAUGAAAUUUGGUUUCUAGAUAGUUCCAAUAGUAUAGAUCAAGUUUAACGGAACCGAUCGCCAAAUUGGAUGUCCCAUCAUUGAAAACAACUACAAGCACGGGGCCUCCCGUACUUUUGAAAGCAUAGGAGCCUAGCUCUAUAUAUAUAUAUUAGGAGUCCAACUACUAUCCUUUUAGGAGGACAAAAACCUUCAUUCACUUAAGUCGUUUUAGAUGAUUAGAAUUUCGAAUCGAUGAAUGAAACCGUCAAGGUUAAUCUAGAAUAUUUAUAAUGUUUGAAACUAAAUUUUAUUUAUUUUAAAAUUUAUUAUCAAGUUUAUUGAAGGGUCAAAAAAUGACAAAAAUGAAUAAUCUUGUAAAAAAGAUAUUAAACUUUUUUCAAUUCAUGAUCGGAAUUAUCAAAUAUUAUUUAAAUAGUAUAAAAAUUUUUCUAUCAAAAAUUCAAAUUGUUUAGAUUGUUCUACGCCGUUAAAUAAGCAAACGGCUCAUAUAGGUCAUAAAAAAUGGUUGAUAUUGUGAUUUUUUGAUCACUACAUAAAUAAUUUCUAAAAUUUUUGAAAUUUAGUUUCUAGACAUUUUAAAUAUUCUAGAUUAAUUUUAACGGUUCCGAUCAUAGAUUCAAAUUUUCUAUCAUCAAAAACGACUUAGAAUGACGAAAGCCUCCGUCUUCUUGAAAGGAUAGUAGCUGAAUUCUACAUAUUAGUAAUCUGUGACAUGUAGAAGCUGGGCUCAAAUCCUUAACUUCCUGAAAGCCUUUAGGGUAACUACCAACUGCUCUAAACAAAACCGGCAACUGUUACCAUAGAGAUGGAAAAAAACAAAAGCUUUUCGAUUGUUAAUACAUGGCAUUUCAAAUUUGAACAACCCAGUUGAACCAAAGUAGUCCUAAUAAGUCUUAUUCGGAAGCUUCUCAGUGGAACGAUUUGGUCAAAAAAAUUAACUAUAUAUAUAUAUAUAAUAAUAUAUAUGUAUAUGUCACUUUCUAACAGGUUAAUUUUGACCCGGACCAUAACUUCAAAAUAUUAGACUUAUUGCACCUCGAGCGUGGAUCACACUGAUAUAUCCUAUGUAAAGUUUUAAAAAAGAAACUUCAGGAGAGCCCUCUAAUUAUACUUUAUUGAGGAGCUUUCGAUUAAUUCUAUGUUAUCAGUUUUAUUUUUAGCCAAAAUUAUAAUUCUUUCUUUUAAAUUUUUUUAUAUUUUAGUAUUAAAAAAUACCUAUAAGUAAAGACAUAAACUAGUAUUAUUAUUAUCCCCAUCAAAUUGGAAACCAUUUCACAUGCAUCAUUUGUUUGACUUAAUAAUGCCCUAGAACUAAGAAAGCAUAUGCACGGCACCUAAGUAAGCAUCUAGAUAACGUGUAAUAAAAACUUCCAUUUUCUUCUCGCCACCUCUUUCGGAUAUAAAAUAUAAAAAUACUGUUCUCCAGUAGUUGUACUCUAUGGAGAUAAAUUGUUGUAUCGUACAGUAUUAAAGCGGAUAGUAUUGAGCCCAAAUUCUAACUAAAUUUGUCCAUUGUGGUUCUCAGUUAUCGAAUAAUAUUUUAAUUUUACCUAUAUUUUUAGGUAAAUAAUUUUAAAAUAUAAAAAAAUGGUAUAAUAAAGAGUAGGUAGAUUCAUUUGAUGGUCUUUCAUAGAGUAAUUGACAAAUAAAAAAGGCUAAAUUAUAAAAAAAAUUUCUAUAAAUGCUUUUUUCUUUCGCGUUCUCUUUUUAACUUUCAAAAUUUUAUAUUUUACCCGCUCAAUAUUUCAAGUUAUCGUAUUUAGUCCCACUCUAUUAGGGUUUCAUCACUAUUCUAUUUAUUUUUAUAAUUUAUACUGAAAAUGUACUUCGAAAUUAUAAAAAUAUAUUAAAAAUUAUUUUUUUCUUAUAAAAGAAAUAAGAACAAUUUGGUCAUUUUGAUCUCUCUAUUAACACUGUACCUAUCUUAAAAUAUUUUUAAAAUUUUAAGAAACAAAUUAUAGGUUUGUGAAAGUCAGAAAGAAAAGAGUGAAAAAACAUAUAUUUAUAGGAGAAUUUUCUGUAAUUUAGCCUGUAAAAAAGUAUGGAGUUUUUGCUACAACUAAAAAUUAAAAUGAAAUUCUUAGAAAAAAUUUUAAUUAAUCUUGUGUUUCUCAUAACAGUACCACUCAAGCGGAAAAAACAGGCCAUUUGGAAUUAAUAUAUAGUUCAGAAAAGUGUAUAAAUGAAUGGAAAAAGAAAAGGUCAAUUCAGGGGAACUUAUUAUUCUAAAUAAAUACAAAAAUUCCUCUUCUCUUCAAAGUCAAAAGUCCCUUAUUCUAUGUUCUCAUAUCAUAACUACAUUCAUUUCCCCCCCCCCCCACACCACACCAAUAUAGUAAAACCUAGAACUACACCCUUUGUCAACCCCCCCCCCCCAAAAAGUACUUCCACAACCAUCUCUCUCUCUCUCUCUCUCUCUCUCUCUCUCUCUCCAAGAACAAGAUAAAAAUAAGUUUAGUUUUGGUUGAGUUGAGCAAAGAGAGAGAGGGAGAGAGAGAUGGGGUGGGAAAAAGCAAUUGUGUUGGUGAUGAUUCUCCAAUUAGCUAACAUCAACCCUUUGUUGCCACAAAGAGUAGCUGCAGCAGCAGAUUUUCUCUCUCCUCUCUUUGCCCCUGUCUUGAGUAUGCAUUUAUCUUUUCCCCUCAUCUUAAUUUCAUCUCUUCUCAUCAAUCCCUCCCCUCACUCAAUUGUGUUAACCACCCCAAAAAAAAAAAAAAAACUGUAUCUUUUCAUUCAAUAUAGAUCGUUAAAUAUAAAAAUAUUUAAACACCGUCUUUAUCGAUUCACGUUUUUAGAAUAUAAUGGUAUUAGAGCAGAAGGCCCUCCUGAGUUCGAGUUAUAUCAUAUUUCUAACAUUGUUAAUUUUUUUCUCAUUUAAUUUUAAUUCACGUCACGGUCCUAGAAAAAUUCUUGAUUCCAGACGUUUGUUUUGUACCUCAAUUCAUAAGAUAAAAAUCUUAAUUUGACAUGAAAUUUUCAGAUAAAUCAAACACGGAACAAAAUAACCAACUUUUCGCUAAUUUUAUAUAUUAUUUGAUUAAUUUCAAUAUGCAAGAUUCUCACAAAGUGUUUAACUUGGUUGCAAUAUUUAGUACUUAAUUGAUACGGUCUUAAGAUUAUUUAUUUAUUUAUCUACCUAUUAUCUUUGUUUUAAAUGUUUUUUUUUUGUUGUUGUUGUUGUUGUGAAAUAAUAAAUAGAUGAGACAUGUAGCCACGUGGCUUGUGGGAAGGGCACGUGCGAGGCAUCAACCAAUGACACGCUUGGGUUUAUUUGCAAGUGCAAUCCCGGGUGGUCCCAAUACUUCGUCCAAGAUGAGCUCCGUUUCCUUCCUUGUGUCAUCCCCAAUUGUAAGUUUGUAACAUCUCCAUCUCUCUCCAAAAUAUUAAAUUAUUAUUAUUAUUAUUAUUAUUUAGUAGCAUAAUUUUUAGUAAAAAAUAAUUAUUUUUGUCCGCGCAGGAGAUUCUAAGUUUAAGCCCUUUUAGUCUCUUUUAGUUUUUUAUAAUUUUUUCUGUACCGAUUAUCUCUAGAGCAAGUAACAAACAGUUUAACGAUUGGUAUCCAAAAUCCAAUUUAGCUUAUCGAAAUCGAAAAGAGAAAUUUUUUUUCUAUAAUUAUUUUAUUCAAAAGAUAAUCAAACUUUAGAAAUAGUGUUUGUAAAGUCCUAAUAGUCCUACAUCGGAUAAAAAAAUAAUUAUGAUUAGAAAAUAUGAAGUCUACACAUUAGUAAUAAUAACUGAACUUAAAUAUUUUGGGCCGAUAGUGUGGGCGGGUCGGGUCGGGUCGUUACAAUUCCGAAUACUAGCCGGCAGUGUAAGAGCAAAGUGCUACACCAACGAAUUUAGUGGCAGAAUCUAAACAGGGGGUCGGAUCAUUACAGUAUUAAACUUUUUUUUUUUUUUUUUUUUUUUUGUAAUAUUUCAGGUAGCAUCAAUUACUCCUGCUCCAAGAUAUCAACUGCUCCAGCUCCCUCCCCCUCACCACCUUCAGCCAACUUCUCAAUUUUUGAUCGUAUGAUUCACACUUAACAUAAUUUACUUAAUUAUUUACUUAUGUUCUAAAACAUGAUUAGUGACUAUAUAUAUACAUUCUAUUUCUAAUUUUUCACAAAUAUUUUAGCAUGCUUGUGGGCUUAUUGCGGAGGAGGCAAAUGCGUAAAUGCGUCGUAUUUCGACUACAAAUGUGAAUGUGAUGAGGGUUACUACAACCUCUUCAACAGCACCUCGUACCCUUGUUACAGAGAAUGUAAGUAGAUCAAAAUCAAAAUGUUCCCCUCUUUUAUUUAAACAUUCAGAAUAUUAUUGGAUAAGCGUAAUUAAGCAUACAUGCAUGCGUUGAGAAAACCUAUAUAUAGUACUUUUGGGUUCGGGAUUUUAUCAUAGUGGGUAUAGGGAUAUAUGCAUCACGAAUGCUUUUCUAAGCAUCGUGUGUCUGUGUCGGAUAUGUGUUUGAUAUAAACAUUCAUUGGAUGUGCAUUCAAUGUCGAUCCAUAGCCCAUACAACUAAUAUAUAUAUAUAUAUAUAUAUAUAUAUAUAUAUAUAUAUAUAUAUAUAUGAGUUAAGCUAGAAUACUAUCGAUAGCAAAUCGGCACUUUUGCCACCCAUUUGUUUUCGAUGAUGGAGCUUCCAAAUUGAUGAUUGGCACCGUUGAAUAUGAUCUAUACCAUUUGAAGUAUUUAGAAAUCAAACUUCAUACAUUUUCGAUAUUGUUCUCUUAUCCAUCGAGUGGACACAAAAAUGAACAGCUGAAAAUGAAUAUUCUUAAAAAAAUGAUGAUAGGAGUCUUGUAAUCAAGAUCGAGAGUAUAGAUCGUGUUUUAAAUAGUUUAAAAAAUUUUCUAACAAAAAUUCAAUUGAUUUGGAUAUCUUUACACCGUUAAACGAGAAAACUCCUCAUAUCGACCAUUAAAAUUACAAAUUUUGAAACCCUUUGAUCAUUAGGCAAAUGAUGUCGAAAAGAUUUGAAAUUUAAUUUCUAAACAAUUUAAGUGGUAUAGAUCAUGUUCAACGAUGCCGAUCGUCGAUUUGGAGGCUCCAUCAUCGAAAACAAAUGGGUGGCAAAAGUGACGAUUUGUUAUCGAUAGUAUUCUAGCUCAACUAUAUAUAUAUAUAUAUAUAGAGAGAGAGAGAGAGAGAGAGCUAGGCUACUAUACUAUCGGUAGCACGGAGGGCUCCGUGCUACCAAGUUGUUUUCGCUGUUGCGACUUCCAAAUCGACGAUCGGUUCUGUUAGACUUGAUCUAUACUAUUAAAAGUAUUUAGAAACUAAAUAAUUUUUCGAUACCAUUUGAAAUACCUAUCAAACAAGUAGUCUAAAAUUGAACGGCUGAAAAUAAAAAUCUCAUAAAAAAUGAUGAUAAAAGAUUUAAAUUUAAGAUCAGAUAUACUGAUCUUACUCUAAAUAGUGAAAAGAAUUUUCUAUAAAAUUUUUAUCGGAUUUAGAUUGUUUUACACUGUUAAACUCACAAACAUACCACAUCGGCCAUUAAAAUUGUCAAUUUUGAGAUCUUUUGAUCACUAAUCAAAUGAUGUCGAAAAAAAUCUGAAAUUUAGUUUCCAAAUACUUUCAAUAAGUGUAGAUCAAGUCUAACGGAGCCGAUCGUCGAUUUGGAAGCCGCAUCAUCGAAAACAACUUGGUAGCAUGGAGCCUUUGUGCU